rnacentral:lncRNA from 1 species
AAUUUGCUAAACUUUCAUUAUGUUUAUUCAAAUAAAAAAAAAUCACAAGGGAUCAUUUGUUCAUUUUCCCUUUUCACAACUUCCUAAAGCACAACAUUUGUUCGGUAACAAGGGAUUGACAAAAAUAUUUUUAAUUGGCUUAAGUCAAUUGGUUCCAACAAUGUGACAUUUGAAUUACAUUAAGUGGAAACCUAUGACAGGUACCCAGACACUGGAUGAAAAAACAAUGUAGUUGCUCGAUCUGAACUACUUAAUCCACGUGCUAGAUUGACCAUCCGCAGUGUAUGCACAAACUACUUCUACCAUGUAGAUUUGCAGUAGUUAAUCCACACUUCUUUUGGACAGUGAAACUAGGUAUUCUGGUCCAAAAGAGAUCAAUCAUGAGGGAGGACGAACCUCAACUUCACCUCAUACUCCAGCUUCCUCCACUGUCUCACACUUAUAGAUUAAUGCUUCAUCGUUUUUGCAAACUCCCUGCCAUAACAUGAGAGAUAUUUGUAUUUAGAACAAAAAUUUCCUCUUUUAUAAUAACCACAAAGAGCAUCAAAAUGAACUAUUAAUAACAGAAAGCAAAGCGAGAAGUUUAGAUACAUAUCGAGAUAUAUACCUCUACUUAUGACCUUUGUUUCUUAGAAGAGGAACAACUGGCUUCUUCAUGAUGUUCACUAUCGUCNNN